CUAUCGGCGUGGGAGCGGUCCAUAUCCUAUCAGCUAGUUGGCGGGGUAACGGCCCACCAAGGCAACGACGGGUAGCGGGACUGAGAGGUUGACCCGGCGCAUUGGGACUGAGACACUGCCCAGACUCCUACGGGAGGCUGCAGUAACGAAUAUUGGACAAUGAGCGAAAGCUUGAUCCAGCGACGCCGCGUGCAGGAAGAAGUCCUUCGGGAUGUAAACUGCUGUCAGGGACCACCAAGCAAGGAAGGUUAAUACCCUUCUGCGUUGAGGACUCCCAGAGGAAGCCACGGCUAACUUCGUGCCAGCAGCCGCGGUAAUACGAAGGUGGCGAGCGUUGUUCGGAAUCACAGGGCUUAAAGCGUGUGUAGGCGGACUGUCAAGCGUUUUGUGAAAGCCCUCGGCUUAACCGGGGAAUUGCUUGACGAACUGAUAGUCUUGAGGCAGGUAGGGGCAACUGGAACUCUUGGUGGAGCGGUGGAAUGCGUAGAUAUCAAGAGGAACGCCAGAGGCGAAGGCGAGUUGCUGGGCCUGUCCUGACGCUGAGACACGAAAGCCAGGGGAGCGAACGGGAUUAGAUACCCCGGUAGUCCUGGCCCUAAACGAUGUCCACUAGAUCGGAGGCGCUCUGACGUGUUUCUGGUCGAAAUGACAACGGUUAGUGGACCGGCUGGGGAGUACGUUCGCAAGGCUACAACUCAAGGGAAUUGACGGGGGCUCACACAAGCGGUGGAGCAUGUUGCUUAAUUCGAUGCAACGCGAAGAACCUUAUCCUAGGCUUGACAUAUACGAAUGCCUACUGGGAAACCAGGUCGGCUGCCCUUCGGGGUGAAACGUAUACAGGUGCUGCAUGGCUGUCGUCAGCUCGUGUCGUGAGAUGUUGGGUUAAGUCCCGUAACGAGCGAAACCCUUGUCGUUAGUUGCCAGCGCGUAAUGGCGGGGACUCUAACGAGACUGCCGGUGUUAAACCGGAGGAAGGUGGGGAUGACGUCAAGUCCUCAUGGCCUUUAUGCCUAGGGCUGCAAACGUGCUACAAUGGCCGGUACAAAACGAAGCGAGACCGCGAGGUGGAGCAAAUCGUAAAAAACCGGCCCCAGUUCGGAUUGGAGUCUGCAACUCGACUCCAUGAAGUUGGAAUCGCUAGUAAUCGCGUAUCAGCGUGACGCGGUGAAUGUGUUCCUGAGCAUUGUACACACCGCCCGUCAAG
rnacentral:rRNA from 1 species